GUAAGCGAUCGCUUUUGUUUUUGCAAAAGAGGAAAGUCCGAGCUGCGAUAAGACAAGGUUCCAUCUAACGGAUGGCUAGGGAAACCUAAGGGAUAGUGUAACAGAAAGUAGACUUCCGCUUUGGCGCGGUAAAGGUGAAACGGCGGAGUAAGAGCCCACCGGCACGCUUGGUAACUUGCGUGGCCAUAUAAACCCAACCUGCAGCAAGAAGGGAUGGUUUUGGUCUUAUAUUAAAACCCUUCGCUAGAGCUUGUUUGUAAAAGCAAGCGUAGAUAAAUGAUCGCUCAAGACAGAACUCGGCUUAACGCCGUGCC
rnacentral:RNase_P_RNA from 1 species